rnacentral:tRNA from 1 species
UAAGGCCUUAGUUUAAUUAAAGCGACUGGGUUGCAGCUAGUAAAUGUGGGCUAAAGUCCUACAGGUCUU